rnacentral:lncRNA from 1 species
CAAGUCCAUAUGGAUCAGCGCUGCCUCUUAGCCUUCACUACUGCUGUCAAAGUAACCAGCCAUCAUGGUACAAAAGGAAAACUAAGAAAUACGUUCUUCCUGGGCUCAAGUGGGGUUUGGUAGCCCCACUUGCAAAUGAGCUUUUUAUUUCUUUCUAGAAGCAUUCUGUCAUUGGAUGUAGUAGGAUUCCCUUUUUCAUGUCUUCUGCGUGUCGACAAAGUCUUUAUUGAACCCCAGUUGAGAUGACCACCAGGAGAUCACUUGGAAAAUGGUCAAGAUGAUUCUGCCUCCUCCGUCCCUGAAAAAGAAACCUCACAAAGUUGUUUGUAUGUAUUUAUUUAUUUAUUUAUUUAUUAUUAUUUUUGUCAUCUUUUAAGGCCACACCUGCGGCAUAUGGAAGUUCCCAGGCUAAAGGCCGAAAUGGAGCUAUAGCCACGGGCCUACAUCACAGCCACAGCAAUUCGGGAUCCAAGCUGUGUCUGCAACCUACCCCUCAGUUUAUGGAAUGCCGGAUCCUUAACCCACUGAGCAAGGCCAGGGAUUGAACCCACAUCCUCAUGGAUAAUAGACGGGUUCGUUAACUGCUGAGCCAUGACAGGAACUCCUAAAUUUUUUUUUUUAUUUUUAUUUUUAUUUUUUGUCUUUUUGCCAUUUCUUGGGCCGCUCCCAAGGCAUAUGGAGGUUCCCAGGCUAGGGGUCGAAUCGGAGCUGUAGCCGCUGGCCUACACCAGAGCCACAGCAACGCGAGAUCCGAGCCGUGUCUGUAACCUACACCACAGCUCACGGCAAUGCCGGAUCGUUAACCCACUGAGCAAGGGCAGGGAUCGAACCCGCAACCUCAUGGUUCUGUUAACCACUGCGCCACAACGGAAACUCCUAAAUUUUAUUUAAAUCACUAUCCAGGGUUGAGUUCUCCCUUUGCUUUCUUUUUCAGUGGGGACUUGAGGUUGGUUCCAUUACUUCCACUUCUAGAGAAGUAUAGCUUUCCUUGUUUCUUUCUUUAUAAUAUGCCUUCCUUCCUUUCUUCCUUCCUACUUUUUGGCUAUGCUGGUGGCAUGCAGAAGUUAUCAGGCCAGGGGUCAAAUCCACACCACAGCAGUAACCAGAGCCACAGCAGUGACAGUGCCAGCGCCUUAACCCACUAAGCCACCAGGGAACUCCUAAUAUUUAUUUUUAUGAACAGAGGUUGUAGUUUAAAUUUCCUCCAUAUGGUUUUUAGAGCAAAAAGCACAAAACUGGCAUCCAGGAGAUCUAGGAUUUCCCCCCAGCUCUGCCAGUUGUUAACUGAUGACCUUAGCGGGUUAGGGAUCUGGCAAGGCAUUUAGCUUUGUGUCUAGUUCCAAUCUCUUAAAUGUGGGGAUUGAACUAGAUGGCCUUGAAAAUUCCUUUUAGUGUCAGCAUUCUGGGACUCAGAUAGUUGCAUAGAAUAAAAAUAUCCUUAUUUGCUCCUAAAAGAUUGCCCUUUAUAAUUAAUGUUGUUUGAAAAGAGUACUGAUGUGCAGAUCUUGGAUAAAUUGUUAAAAUUUAAGGCAGCCUACCAGACUGUUCUUGCUAACUCGAAAUGAUGUUUAGAGGCAUAACACUGUGGCUUUUGCAGGCAGUCAGCUUGUUUUUGAGAAGUGCCAUCAACUGAAGUCAUGAAAGUAGCUGCUGAGCUGUGUGUUCAAAGGUGUACAAGAUCACUAGCACAGAGAACUAGAGUCACAAACAUCAGGAAUACAGCCAUAAGUGCAGAUGUGGGAAAAGACAGUUAAGAGACAAACCAUUAUUGGAGUUCUUGGUGUGGCUUCGUGGGCUAAAGACGAGACAUUUUCUCUGUGAGGAUGUGGGUUCCAUCCCUGGACUCUCUCGGUGGCUUAAGGAUCCGGUUGCCACAAGCUACGGUGUAGGUCACAGAUGCCACUCAGAUCCAGUGUUGCUACAGCUGUGACUUAGACCUGCAGCUGCAGCUCGGAUUCGACCCCUGGUCUGGGAACUUCCAUAUGCUGCAGAUGUUGCU